ACCGUCCCUGUUUGCACCUAUCCUGGAAAGCCAUGUCAGCUUGCAAGAGCCCAACAGCUUUUAGAAGCGGAGCAGGUCACUGCUCUUUCAACGGAGGAGGGAGGCAGAGGGCUCACUGAUUAGUGAACUUUCAGCUGACACCACGGCUUCAGGGCCAUGUGAACAUUCUGUGCUGCAGCGACGCCCUGCCUGAAUAACCAGAUGUGCUGAGCUUAUCCUUUCUAACAAGGAGGGGUCCAAACUAGGAUCUGAAGAGGAGUCCUGAGAACCCAGUAGGUGCCCUGAAGUUCCCCCUCCAUCGGUGGAAGUCGGAUCAAGGAGGUCCUGAAGACUGGACUCCUGGGGGUUUGGCCCUGGGACACGAUACUCAAGGCCCAAUCUCCCACGCCGCCCCAAACUGGACCCCGGAUCCAGCCGCUGCCUCAGCUGCAUCAGGAGCCUCGCCGCUGCCAAGUAGCGGUGGCGUUAUUUAAAGGGGAUGCAGCCUGACUGCCAUGAGGGGAGCGCGAGUCGGACCAGCCAAUACGCAUGCGCGAGGCGCGAGCAGCUUCUCCCAUCACAGUGCUUCCCACGGUUGUCGUAGAAACCAGUCCUCGAGGCUUGGCAAAGUGGGAGCCUACCGUGGCAGUGCUUGGGUGUCGGGGCUCUGAGGCUCCGGCCUGACCUCUCCACGGGGUCGACGGGAACCUCUCCGGAUGCCAGGAGUCACAAAGGGCUGACCAGGAUGAGGAAACACCAGGCGGAGUCCGGAGGAAGCAGCACCGCAUCCCAGCCCCAGGCCUUCCCAGACGGUGUUGGUUGGGAGUGCAGUGAAAAGAAGACACUUCUCUGCACCCCAAAAGCUCCAUGCUGAUUGCGAGAAGGAAAUGCUGGAUAGGGGUUCCUGGAACUACUGUGAGGGAAAUGGUAACAGAACUUUGGAUGUGGAACGUGCAGUAGGAGUUACACGAAGUGCGGGUCUGCACUUGGGGUGGUCAGCUCUGCGGAUGCCCAGCAAAGGCACUGCCUGGUCCACAUCCUGGAGUGGUCUCUACGCCCCAGUCGGCAUCGCAGCUGAUGGUGAAACUUUGGGUGUGGCAGAAGAGUGUCCACAAACUUUGGAAGGUAUCCGCUGCCUCCUCCAUAGCCGUGUAUCCCUGCCGAGGGCGAUCAUCUCGAGGAGCGGAAAGUCCUGCUCAUGGGCCAGGGCUGGCUGGCUGGAGCCACUUGCGCGGCGCAGCCCUGGCGGAGGUUCAGGCGGCCCCGGUGUCGCAAGCGGCUGUGAGUGAUGCCUCCUUGGGGCCAGAGGGGUCGCAGGAAGGCUGCAGAACAGGGCUGACCAGCGGGAAGCAUGGUGGCCGCGAUGGAAGGUGACGGGGUUCGCAGCGCCAGGGGACCCAGCAGAGCCCGAGCCCGGGCAUCCCGCAUCUCCAGCAGCACCCCGGGUAGGCGCUGGUGACGUGGCGGCCAGUGCACAAGGCCCACGACCCAGUCCCAGAGGCCAGCCCAUCAUCAGCUAACUUCAGGAAUCCCGGGCCAGCUGAGGCCCCGGGCCCCACGGGCAAGACAAAGAGCAGAGGGUCCGCAGGCAGGGCCGAGAGCAGGCAGUGCAGGCCUGGCUCCACCGCCGUGGAGCUCGCAGGGCGCAGCAGGCACCGGGCAGCGACCAGGGCUUCCAGAGAAGGCUGUGCACCCCCGCAAAGGCUCCUGCCCGGCGUCCAGCCUAUCCGCGGGGACUCCACGUGCACCCCCUCCUCAUGGUCCCUGUCUAGGGCCUCGGCAAGCUCCUCGCUCCCAUGGCGUGACUCCGGGGGCGCAGGAGCCUGGGUUGAGCAGGUGGAGUAGGGUGAGCACCGCCAAGAACCCAGUGAGAGUGGCGCCCCAGGGCAGCACAGGAGGCUGCAUUUAACGUGUCAAUCAUCUCAAAGAUUUUGUGGCAUCUUCUUUUUUUUGACAUCUUAUAAUAUCUAUAAUGUCUAUUAUAUCUUGUGAUAGAAUUAUUAACACCACUUCAUUGUGAUUAUGAUUAUUUUUAUACCAACACAUCUUCAAUUAUUAAUAUUCCCAGUUGCUAGAGAAAAAUGAAACGACUAGUUUUGAAAGCCUUACUUCUGCCAAUGGAAGCACAUUCCAGCAUGUCGCCAACGCAAUCCACUUUCCACCACUUUCACAAGAAACGUUACUGCACAAUUAUACUAUCCUACCCUUA